GACGAACGCUGGCGGCAUGCCUAAUACAUGUAAGUAGAACGAGUUGCGAACGGGUGAGUAACGCGUGGUAACCUUCCUCAUAGCGGGGGAUAACUAUUGGAAACGAUAGCUAAUACCGCAAACUUUUUGAUGGAUCUGCGUUGUAUUAGCUAGUUGGUGGGGUAACGGCUCACCAAGGCGACGAUCCGUAGCUGGUUUGAGAGGACGACCAGCCACACUGGGACUGAGAAAAGGCCCAGACUCCUACGGGAGGCAGCAGUGGGGAAUAUUGCACAAUGGGCGCAAGCCUGAUGCAGCCAUGCCGCGUGUAUGAAGAAGGCCUGCGGGUUGUAAAGUACUUUCAGCGAGGAGGCGUUACUCGCAGAAGAAGCACCGGCUAACUCCGUGCCAGCCGCCGCGGUAAUUC
rnacentral:rRNA from 1 species